rnacentral:rRNA from 1 species
CAUGCAAGUCGAACGAGAAAGCCCUUCGGGGUGAGUAAAGUGGCGAACGGGUGAGUAACACGUGGGCAACCUGCCCCUCGCAGGGGGACAACCGGAGGAAACUCCGGCUAAUACCCCGUACGCUUGUUGGAUCGCAUGGUCCGGCAAGGAAAGGUAGCUUCGGCCAUCCGGCGAGGGAUGGGCCCGCGUUGCAUUAGCUAGUUGGUGGGGUAACGGCCCACCAAGGCGACGAUGCGUAGCUGGUCUGAGAGGAUGAUCAGCCACACUGGGACUGAGACACGGCCCAGACUCCUACGGGAGGCAGCAGCCAGGAAUCUUGGGCAAUGGGCGAAAGCCUGACCCAGCAACACCGUGUGGGUGACGAAGGCCUUAGGGUCGUAAAGCCCUGUUGAUAGGGACGAAGGGCGAAGGGUUAAUAGCCCCUAGCUUGACGGUACCUUUCGAGGAAGCCCCGGCUAACUACGUGCCAGCAGCCGCGGUAAUACGUAGGGGGCGAGCGUUGUCCGGAAUUAUUGGGCGUAAAGAGCGUGUAGGCGGUUCGGUAAGUCUGCUGUGAAAUCCUGGGGCUCAACCCCGGGCGUGCAGCGGAUACUGCCGGGCUAGAGGGUGGUAGAGGCGAGUGGAAUUCCGAGUGUAGCGGUGAAAUGCGCAGAUAUUCGGAGGAACACCAGUAGCGAAGGCGGCUCGCUGGGCCACACCUGACGCUGAGACGCGAAAGCGUGGGGAGCGAACAGGAUUAGAUACCCUGGUAGUCCACGCCGUAAACGAUGGAUACUGGGUGUGGGCGGAGUCGAAUCUGUCUGUGCCGAAGCCAACGCGUU